rnacentral:ncRNA from 1 species
UUAUGGUGUGCUGAAAUGAAAAGGGAAUCAGGUGAGAAUCCUGAGCAACCGCCAUUACCGUAUUUGAUGAAGCAAUUACACAGGCCAUUGGGAAACUGAGAAGGCGUAAUCUGCAUGUAUAUUUUUACUAUAUCAUAAGUCGGGAGACCUGCCGUGAACAUAA